rnacentral:rRNA from 1 species
UGGGGAAUAUUGCACAAUGGAGGGAACUCUGAUGCAGCGACGCCGCGUGAGUGAAGAAGGUCUUCGGAUCGUAAAACUCUGUCCUUGGUGACGAAGAAAAUGACGGUAGCCAAGGAGGAAGCCCCGGCUAACUACGUGCCAGCAGCCGCGGUAAUACGUAGGGGGCGAGCGUUGUCCGGAUUUACUGGGCGUAAAGGGUGAGUAGGCGGUUAUAUAUGUCAGGUGUAAAAAGCUAUGGCUUAACCAUAGUAAGCACUUGAAACUGUAUGACUUGAGUGCAGGAGAGGUAAGCGGAAUUCCUAGUGUAGCGGUGAAAUGCGUAGAUAUUAGGAGGAACACCGGUGGCGAAGGCGGCUUACUGGACUGUAACUGACGCUGAGUCACGAAAGCGUGGGUAGCAAACAGG